GUGAAAGUUUCAUUUGAUCUAAACAACAUACAGAUCAAAUACAUGGAUGAGGAUAAUGAUGAG
rnacentral:lncRNA from 1 species